rnacentral:rRNA from 1 species
GAUGAACGCUGGCGGCGUGCUUAACACAUGCAAGUCGAGCGGAUUGAGGACUUCGGUCCGAUAUUAGCGGCGGACGGGUGAGUAACGCGUGGGUGACCUGCCUUAUACAGGGGGAUAACAGUGAGAAAUCACUGCUAAUACCGCAUAAGACCACACUAUCACAUGGUAGAGAGGUAAAAGGAGCAAUCCGGUAUAAGAUGGGCCCGCGUCUGAUUAGCUAGUUGGAGAGGUAAUGGCUCACCAAGGCGACGAUCAGUAGCCGACCUGAGAGGGUGAUCGGCCACAUUGGGACUGAGACACGGCCCAAACUCCUACGGGAGGCAGCAGUGGGGAAUAUUGCACAAUGGGGGAAACCCUGAUGCAGCAACGCCGCGUGAAGGAAGACGGUUUUCGGAUUGUAAACUUCUAUCAACGGGGAAGAAACAAAUGACAGUACCCGAAUAAGAAGCCCCGGCUAACUACGUGCCAGCAGCCGCAGUAACAC